rnacentral:rRNA from 1 species
UACGGAGGAUGCGAGCGUUAUUCGGAUUUAUUGGGUUUAAAGGGUGCGUAGGCGGUCCGGAAAGUCAGCGGUAAAAGCCCGGGGCUCAACCCCGGCGAGCCGUUGAAACUGUCGGACUAGAGACGGCGAGAAGUACGCGGAAUGCGCGGUGUAGCGGUGAAAUGCAUAGAUAUCGCGCAGAACUCCGAUUGCGAAGGCAGCGUACCGGCGCCGGACUGACGCUGAGGCACGAAAGCGUGGGUAUCGAACAGG